rnacentral:rRNA from 1 species
UCCCAGACUCCUAGGGAGGCAGCAGUGGGGGAUAUUGCACAAUGGGGGAAACCCUGAUGCAGCGACGCCGCGUGGGUGAAGAAGCGCCUCGGCGCGUAAAGCCCUGUCAGCAGGGAAGAAAAUGACGGUACCUGACUAAGAAGCCCCGGCUAACUACGUGCCAGCAGCCGCGGUAAUACGUAGAGGGCAAGCGUUAUCCGGAUUUACUGGGUGUAAAGGGAGCGUAGACGGAAUAGCAAGUCUGAUGUGAAAACCCGGGGCUCAACUCCGGGAGUGCAUUGGAAACUGUUGAUCUAGAGUGUCGGAGAGGCAAGCGGAAUUCCUAGUGUAGCGGUGAAAUGCGUAGAUAUUAGGAGGAACACCAGUGGCGAAGGCGGCUUGCUGGACGAUGACUGACGUUGAGGCUCGAAAGCGUGGGGAGCAAACAGGAUUAGAUACCCCCGUACU